CGCCGGAUUCCUCCCACACCAUGGCGGCGGUGGCGAGCGACGAAGCGACGACCACGGCCGUCGGCGCGAAGGAGGCGAAGAAGCAGGUACAUCGGAACUCGAGGCAUGGUUCCGAUUCUCACCUUUUCCCCUGUUCUUCUCCUCCUGUUCUUCUCGAUCUCGAAUCGCUCAGAUGUAGAGCGUGCUGAUAACGUGUUGUGAGUAAUCGGGAGAGAAUCGAGCGAGAGAGAGACAAUGAAUGAA